GUAGAAUUGGGCUGUUUAAAUGCUUCCAGGCUGCAGGUUCCACGUAGCCAGAGAAGGGGAGAUGCUGUGCCUUUCAGAAGCUAAGAAAUUGCACCUCCGGUCCCCAGGGUCAGCGGGACUAGGGUCUGUGCACAGUUCCCUGUGUUCCAAGCUGCCCCUAAAACCAGUUGGCAAUGACACAGAAGCAGCCACACUGGAGAAAAGCUCCUAAACAAGCAACGGUAUGGUCUGCCCCAGGGCUCAGGCCCAGAAGCCAGAGAUGAGGCUGAGAACAAGACACCUCCCACUGAGGAGCUCGGAGUUGGAAAGGAGCUUUGACAAUGCAGCUGAUUU
rnacentral:lncRNA from 1 species